GAUUUCUGGUUGGAUACACCUAGCCCGCCACGGUUUCGUGUGUGAGUGCUGGUUUGUGUAUCUACCAUCCUUCUAGUACUAUAGUAUUAAGCAAUUAGUAUUAUAGAACUAGAUCUUUUACUUUGAAAAAAUUAGAGUGUUUCAAGCAGGCAUGUUGCUAUGAAUACAUUAGCAUGGAAUAAUAAUUUAGGACUUCGGUUCUAUUUUGUUGGUUUCUAGAACUGCAGUAAUGAUUGAUAGGGAUAGUUGGGGGUGCUAGUAUUCAGUGGCCAGAGGUGAAAUUCUCGGAUUCACUGAAGACUAACUUAUGCGAAAGCAUU
rnacentral:rRNA from 1 species